UGGGGAAUAUUGGACAAUGGGGGAAACCCUGAUCCAGCAAUGCCGCGUGAGUGAAGAAGGCCUUAGGGUUGUAAAGCUCUUUCGCCCGCGAAGAUAAUGACGGUAGCGGGAGAAGAAGCCCCGGCUAACUCCGUGCCAGCAGCCGCGGUAAUACGUAGGGUGCGAGCGUUAAUCGGAAUUACUGGGCGUAAAGCGUGCGCAGGCGGUUUUGUAAGACAGAUGUGAAAUCCCCGGGCUUAACCUGGGAACUGCGUUUGUGACUGCAAGGCUGGAGUACGGCAGAGGGAGGUGGAAUUCCACGUGUAGCAGUGAAAUGCGUAGAGAUGUGGAGGAACACCGAUGGCGAAGGCAGCCCCCUGGGCCUGUACUGACGCUCAUGCACGAAAGCGUGGGGAGCAAACA
rnacentral:rRNA from 1 species